AGUCACAAGCCGCUCCGGCGAGUGGACGGUGCCUGGGCGGCCGCCCCGCGGGCAAAGGUCUCGGGACCCGGUCUGUCAGACCUCGGACGUGGAAACUGGCAUCUCCCCUGGCUCGGAGUCCGCCCUCUCGGGGCGCCAGCGCAGUUGAUCGAUGUGCCUGAGGUGGCCUCUCUGAUUCCACAGCUGUCCCCGUGAGCAGGCGGCUCCAUGCUUCAAAGGCCCUGGAUUCCUGGGACAUGAUGCCACCUUUCCUGAAGUCUGGGCUCCUUACCUUCUCUCUGCUCCGGGCAUACCAUUCCCAAAGGACAGUGGUACUGCAGGGAGCAUCUGCUGGGCCCCCUCCAUGUGUUCUGGACAGGCUGGGGUCCUGGGAAGGGUGCACCACCCAAGUGCGGGGGUGGCAUUCAAGCUCAACACAGAACCUGUGAGAAUGGGCCUGACUGUGCUGGCUGCAGUGUGUUGGUUGAAACCGAGGAUGCAGAACAUGUGGACAUGGAGGCCUGUCUAAUUAUCAUCAGUCAGCCACCAUAGGCAACGGGCACGAGUCACACGACACAACAGAAAACAGUUUAAGAAAAUGCUACCCCAGAGCAGGUUUCUCUUGUCCUUGGAAACAGCCUGGCAUGAAGAGCAGUCUUUGCUUCCUCCACUUAAUUUGCCUCAGCCGAGCCUGCAGUCAGCAUCUCUCACCGGGCCCACCUCAGCUCCAGGGGCCAUUCGAGGGACCAGCUGGAGUUUUCUGGUGUUUCCUGGAUUUAUCACUAAAAGACCUGCAUCCUGGGAAAGCACUUUCUCAGUCCCCUGAAGAGUAGAGAUGGACAUUCACCCAAAGGAAGGCUUGUUUCUCAGAGGAAGACCAAAACCUUAUUACCAGACCAAGGCAGGAUGAAAAGUGGGCUGGACAAAAACAAUUAAGCCUCAUGGCGUAGCCCUCUUAGGAGCAGAUGGUGGUGUGUCAUCUUCUAAACUCUACUGUCACUUGGGGGAACUGGCAGAGGAGGAGCCUGGUGUGUGGACCUGGUUUGCCACUUUGUCUAGGAGGCCCCAGAGCCCUGUGUGUUACGGGGGCUGUUAAUUACUCAGGGAGGUUAUCACACGGUCCCUUCUCUGCAUUGGACAGAAAUACAUCUCCCUGUGAUGACAGAGACACAGCGGUUCUUUUUACUCUGCUCUUUCCUUGGGUCCUCCACUCCGAGUGUCCCUGAUUCCUGCGCAGUGUCCUUCCAAAGCCUGGGUUUGGAGGACAGGACCUAUGUGUCCCAUAUCAGCUGCCGUCUGUUGCUAACAAACUGAGGUUACACCAGCUCUAACUGAGCAUUCAUUUAUUUAAUAACAGGCACAGAAAAGCCUCUGGAGUUGCCAGCAUGGUAGAAACCUAGACCAGGCCUCUGAGGGCGUGUAAACAAGUACCCAGGUCGUGAGACCAAUUUCUGCUGAAAUCAGUUAAUUUUGCUGGGUUCCUUGGCUGCGGCCUCACCUCCCACCUCCUGCAAACCUCGCUCCAGUGAGUGUCCAGGCGUCCAGAGGAAGGAGUUUCCAUGGGUCACUGAAAAUCUGCCACCACUCCUGCGAACUCGGUAGACCACUGUCGUUCUCCUUCGUUCAGUCGGUGAACGUGGCGUGUUCCAUACAUAUGUUGCAUCAUUAAAUGUCAUUUCUGAGCGAGGAUUAAAAUUACCAAGUGACUUAGACUUAAUGAUAUAUUAACUGCACAGCUCAUCAGAAUCCUUUCGUACUGCGAUCUCCCAUUUUAUCAAAAAAUUCAUGCUUGAUCAUGCACCAGAGUAGUCAAAAGGUGGGCUUCUGGAAACUUGCAUCGGCUAAAGCCAGAUAUGAUUUCUGUCCCAUGAAACUUGUGUUAAUGAUGUCAUCAGAGGGAAAAAGAAGCCUCACUCGAAAAUUAACUUACACUUCUACUCUGAGGAGGUGGUUUGGGAACAGAGGAGCUAGGACCUUCUUUUUGAGGCUUAAGGGAAUUUACUCACGUUUGCUUAAGUAUGGCACGGUUUUUGUUUAUUUGUUUGGUUAGCUGGUUUGGUUUCCAGGUUUGGUUUUGGUUAGCCUAACCCCGUUGCUUCAAAAUUACUGAAAAAAAAACUGAUCUUUAUAGUUUAUGAUAACAUUAUACUCUGAAUCCUAAAGCCUUCCCCAUCUCAUUUCAGAGAUGUUCCAACCGAAAUUACUCUUUCAUUUCAUGAAUCAACAAAAUAAGUCCAAUAUUACGAUGAUCACCAAUCAAAACACACCUUGGGGAUAUCCUCUUGCAUCUGGAAUUGGCACAAUGCUGAUUGGUUGUAUAACUGUCCCCACCUCGUCUUGGGAAAUUCGAUGAUAUUUUACCUCUGCCACUCCUAAGAAACCAAGACAGGCGUGCCAGGCUUCUCUCUACCUGAAUGCACAGAUAGAAAGAGGGUUUGGUGAAGAGCUGGAACGUGGAUGACAUAUGCUAUGUUUUCUUUGCACGUCCAUGGAUAAAAGUUAUGACGUAAAGGUACACCCUCAACAAUUGGCCAGUACAUUUCCUGUGGGCCAUGUAGGUGUUUGGUACAUUACUGGAUGCAAAGGUGGUAUGACAAAAAGUACGAGACACACUGCUUAAGAGCUGUCAUCACUCGGCGGUCUGUGGAUCACCCACCCAGCUCUGGGUUGUUUCUGGAGGUGCAGAAGAUACAUAAAUGUGGCUGCUUUCCUGAAGAAACAUGUACACUAUUUGGAGGUCUCAGCAGAGCUCGACUGGAUAGUAGGUGCGGCCUCUAAAAGCCAAGGUCUUCAUCACCUGCAGAAUGGUAGCCUCAGAAUAACAUUUGAGUUGUAAAUCUCUUCUGAGGGCUAAAGCGUAUUUCAUAAAAAUGAAGAUUUAUGGAGUUUCUGGAUGGUGCAGUGGGUUAAGAAUCUGACUGCAGUGGCUCAGGUCGCUGAGGAGGCUCAGGUUCAAUCCCCAGCCCAGUGCCGUGGGUUAAAGGGUCUGGUGUGGGUUGCAGCUGCCGCUCAGAUUCAAUCUCUGGUCAGGGAACUUCCAUCUGCCGUGAGUGCAGCCAUUAAAUUAAAUUUUUUUAAAAAGAUAGAGAUUUAUAGUGAUAAAAGCUAGCAGGAGAGUCUUAUGCAAACUAAAAUUUUCAGCUCUUAUAUUCAUGGAAGAACCACGUCUGUAGGCUAACAAAUUAAGAGUGAGAAUGCUAAAUCAUUACUUCCCCUUACGCUGCUUUGAAAUCUCCUAUGAGUCCCCAAAGGGAGAAAUGGUUUGUGUGCUUUACUGCUGUGUGUCUGUUCUCGAGUCUGUAUUUCUUGAUGGUAAUUUGUGUCUGCGUGUGUGAGAAUGCUUAAAAUAUGGUCUCUGCAACUUUCAAGUACGCAUAUAACACGGAUAUUGUGUUAUUAACGGUAGUCCCCAUGCUGAACGUUAGGUCCUCUGACCUUAUUCUUAUGUCUGAAAAUGUGUAUCAUUUGACCUCCAUUACUUCAUUUUCUCCUCCUCCCAGCCACUGGUAACCACCAUUCUGUUAUUCUAUUCUCUGUUUCUAUGAAAUCAGCUUUUUUAAAAGUUCCACACGUAGAUAAUAAUAUGAGAUAAUAUUUAUCUUUGUCUGGCUUAUUUCACUUAGCAUCAUGCCAUCCAGGUUCAUCACAAAUGGCAGGAUUUCCUCCCUUUUUCUGGCUGCAUAAUAUUCCAUCAUGUUCCAUUUUCUUUAUGUCUUCAUCCAUUCAUGGACAUUUAAGUUGUUCCUGAACCUUGGCUACUAGGCAUAAUGCUGCAGUGAACAUGGGAGUGUAGCUAUCUCUUCAAGAUACUGAUUUAGGUUCUUUUGGAUAUAUGCUAGAAGUGAAAUUGCUGGUAGUUCUAUUUUAAAUUUUUUGGGGGAUGGCCAUUCUGUUUUCCACAGUGGCCGCACUGAUUUACAUUCUCACCAACAGUUUAUAAGGAUUCCCUUUUCUCCACAUCCUCGCCAACAUAUUUUAUCUCUUUUCCCUUUGAUAAUAGCUUGAUGAUAAUUGUUCUCGAGUCUUGUACAGAGCUUUGUGGAACUGCAUCUCUUUCUUUCAGAUAAAUGAGUGUUUGAUCUCAGGAAAUCUUCCAUUGCCACUGGUAAAUCUGAGCUGUCUCCAUUUUAAAUUGAGUUAAAAGCAAAAGUACCGCCUACCCUCCGAAGCUUUUCUUUAAUUCCUAGUAUCAGUGUGUUUAAUUGGAAAGAGAUUUUAAAGACCAAUAGUGUAAGGCUUAAGAGAUUCUGGCACCUUUGGGGAUUGUUUUAAAAUUAUUGCAUGAAUUCUUUUUUAUUUUUUUUCCCACUGGGGGUUAGGCCUGACAGGCCACGAAUGGAUCUGUCAUUCUCCCAUAUACUCUCAGUAUUUAUUAUUAUCAUCUGCCUCAGGGGCUUGUAGAUUAAUCAAAAAUAUCCUUAAGUUAUCUUACAAGUAAAAGGAAAUUAACCAGCUUUCCCACCUCAUUUUAUGCUAAUAUAUUAAAUUAUGAGCUCUGAAGAAAUUAACAAGGACCUGAGAUCAAUGACUGUCUCUUCCUCUGAGUAAAUUAAAAUAGAAUAAGUACAAAUAUUCUGUAAUCAUCAGGUAUUAAACUCCUUUCCUCUUUUUUCCCCCUUUUAACAUAACUCAGGCUGUAAAACCUAAAUAAAAUCUUACAUCUAGUUCAAACCCCUUCCUUUGGAAAAGAAAAGCAUGAGGUCUGUGUGUGUGUGUGUGUGUGUGUGUGUGUGUCUACGUGUGUGUGUCUGCAUGUGUGUAAACCAUAUGUACAUACUUAUAGAAACACAUUGUGUAUAUAUGUAUGUACACACGGUGUACAUAACAUAUACACAAUGAGUGUAUGUAAACCGAGAGUAUCAUUCCUUCCUAAAUAAUCCUACAUUUAUUUGGGGUGACACAUGAUAAAAUGUAUAGUGAAAUCUGGAAGGUGAUUUCAUGACUUCCUAAAGACUAACAGGAGAAUUGUUAUAAAAUUUCUAUGAGAAAAAAAUAAUACUUUCACAUCUCUAAUGAAACACACCCUUUUAAAAAGUGAAGAGUGUUUAACAUGAAAUAGCAUCAACUCUGUGAUGCCAUUAUCCUCUCAGAACCCAUCAAGUCAUACACAAAAUCCUAAUGAAUUUAUCGACAGCUCAUCCAUCCAGAGUUCCGACUUGAGUUGAGGCAGGUGUCAAGAUGCACUUGCCAAACAGGGUGAUAACACCGCCCCCACAGUUUCAUCGCAAAGCACCAUCUGCUCCAAGCACAUGGACUGUCAAAUCCUGGCUUGUGCCCCCUGGCAUUUGGUGACGGUGGCACUGACAUGCAGUGACUUUGGAGGAUGCGUUCACAUUCUCAGUUCUUCAAACCCUGCCUAGGUCACAGCAGCAAUCUGUCAACGGAGGCGGUUGGAAGAGGCAGGAGGCAAUGUAUUCUGUUUGUCUGGUCCCCACUCUGAACAUGACUAGUUUUUAUGCCAGUCACCAUGUCUAAAAUGUCUUCAAAGAGCACCUGUGAUCAUGCUCUCUCUCAAACCCGGUCACUGAGAUGUUCUAAGUCAACGGUUUCCACGUGACACCAAGAGACACAAAGCCUUAACCGUGUUAGAGAUUUCGUGAAGCUCUGGUCAGGAAGGGAAUGGCAUUGGGGCCACCUGACCUUCACGUGAAGACACGCUAUCACAUUUCUGUAACAAAGGGUGCUGGGGGGGCUGGCGGUGAAAUGCUGUCUCAACUCAGUUUUGAGGCCCUGGCAGGAGGCCUGCCAGUUUCUCUUCGCAAGAAUUGCUCAAGUCCACACCACACACACUUCCUUUGUGGGACUCUCAUAUUUCAGGUGCUAUGCAGUCACCCUAACUGCCCAGGGGACAGGUCCCCACUAGGAUCAACUCUGUGCCCCAGGGCCCCCAAAUUUAUGCACGUUGGCCAGUUCACUGAGAGCCUGGUAAAGCCUGGCCAAGCCCGCCCCACUUGCCACACCGAGCUGCAGCUGUGGCUCCAGCCUCCUGGCACCGUGUCCCCAAGUGUGGGUCCUGUGGCAGCCUUCUCUCGUUUAGAGCUGAAAGUAACAAGAGAUCUGCCUUUCAAGGACCUGGGUAUCUUUAUGUUCUGUCCUACCAUCCCGCCAAUUACCAUCCUCCAUAAUAAAUUCUAAUUAUAAAACAAUCACGUUGAUUUGAUUCUUUCAUUGUUUUAAGAUUUAUUGAAGUGUAGUUAAUUUACACAGUUUUGAUGAUUUCUGUUGUACAACAAAGGGACAGAGUCAUACAUAUACACAUACCAUUCUCUCUCAGCUUCUUUUCCCACAGAGAUUAUCACAGAACAGUGGGUGGUGUUCUCUGGGCUACACAGCAAGUCCUCAUUGGCCAAUGGAUCCAUGUACCUCAGUGUGGUCAAGGGAUCCAGUGUUGCCACAGCUGCUUGGAUCUGAUCCCA
rnacentral:lncRNA from 1 species